AGAGUCGGAUACACGGCCGCCGGUGAAUCCUGUCAAGAGCGGGUUCUUGCCGGAGGAAAGUCCGGGCAGCAAGGGCGCGGUGCUGGUUAACGGCCAGACGGUGUGAACCGAUGGAAAGUGCAACAGAAAGCAUACCGCCGAUGGACCUCCUGAAGGUCACAGGUAAGGGUGAAAUGGCAGGGUAAGAGCCUACCGCGGUCCUGGUGACAGGGCCGGCAGUGUAAACCCCACCUGCUGCAAGUCCAAAUAGGAUCGCUAUCGGGUGGCCCGCCCGGCGAUCGGGUAGGACGCUUGAGGCUGACGGUAACGUCAGUCCCAGAUAAAUGGUCGUGGCCCCACCUUUCAAAGAAGAUCAUGUCCUGGAUGUCGUUUAACAUCCAUGAAAUUUUUGACAGGGAGGGGAACAGAACCCGGCUUAUUUCCGGCUCUGGCC
rnacentral:RNase_P_RNA from 2 species